GUCACAACAUCGCCAUCUCCCACAUGCGCUCAACUUUCCCUCCGUCUCAUCCAAAUCCUCACUUUCUUUAAUCUUUAUAUCUCCAAAGAACAUAUCUUUCACUUCCAUUUCUAUAUUCUCCAAUUCCCUCAACAACUACUUACAUAAUUGCCGAUUCUUCUGGCCAUUCAUGGACAUGGCUUGGGUGGCUCUGCAAAUCAACUGUUUGUUUAGGGAUUGUGAAAUGGGACUAUUUGGUAGCAGCUAUAAAGAGACCCUAAUGUUAUGGGGCUUUGGGAAAUGAUUGGUUUAGGGUCUGUCACAGAUUCUUGGCUCUUUGAAUUUGGACAACAAACUGGUGUUCUCAAAAAGAUGCAUUGUCUUGGUACAAUGAGGCAAGAACUUGGCUUAGGAAUAGAAAAUUUUUAGUGAAAAUUUAUUCA